ensembl:snRNA
AAAAAGGGCUUCUGUCGUGAGUGGCACACGUAGAGCAGCUUGAUUGCUCUACGUGUGGAAUCGACAUCAAGAGAUUUCGGAAGCUUUUUUUCGGAGAGGUGACCUUGGUUAAAACACAUGGCGCCAA